UACAGAGGGUGCGAGCGUUGUUCGGAAUUACUGGGCGUAAAGCGCGCGCAGGCGGCCUUUUAAGUCUGCUGGUGAAAUGCCGGGGCUCAACCCCGUGCCCGCCACAGAUACUGGGAGGCUGGAGACAUGUAGAGGCAAGCGGAAUUCCGGGUGUAGCGGUGGAAUGCGUAGAGAUCCGGAAGAACACCGGUGGCGAAGGCGGCCAUCUGGGAGGGUACUGACGCUCAGACGCGAAAGCGUGGGGAGCAAACAGG
rnacentral:rRNA from 1 species